rnacentral:rRNA from 1 species
GAUGAACGCUAGCGAUAGGCUUAACACAUGCAAGUCGAGGGGCAGCAUGGUCUUAGCUUGCUAAGACUGAUGGCGACCGGCGCACGGGUGCGUAACGCGUAUGCAACUUGCCUCACAGAGGGGGAUAACCCGUCGAAAGACGGACUAAUACCGCGUACACUCCAUCUUGGGCAUCCAAGGUAGAGGAAAUGAAAUUCGCUGUGAGAUAGGCAUGCGUCCCAUUAGCUAGUUGGUGAGGUAACGGCUCACCAAGGCGACGAUGGGUAGGGGAACUGAGAGGUUGAACCCCCACACUGGUACUGAGACACGGACCAGACUACUGCGGGAGGCAGCAGUGAGGAAUAUUGGUCAAUGGGCGAGAGCCUGAACCAGCCAAGUCGCGUGAAGGAUGACUGUCUUAUGGAUUGUAAACUUCUUUUAUACGGGAAUAACAAGAGUCACGUGUGACUCCCUGCAUGUACCGUAUGAAUAAGCAUCGGCUAACUCCGUG